rnacentral:snoRNA from 2 species
AUCUCCCACUUCACUUUGCCAAUUAGACAGCUGUUGUCUCCAUUGGCCAUUCAGGUGGGGUAGAAAGAAUAUCCUUUUAAAACCCAGCCAGACUAUAUUUAACUGGUUUGGAUCCUGUCAGAGGAAACAGGC